rnacentral:rRNA from 1 species
AUUUAACUUGGUAAUGGACAGGUUACUUAGAACCUUACCCAGCGAAAUUGGUGCCAAAGUCGGAAAUGCCAUUACUAACGCGGCCGCGUUUGCAGAUGAUUUGGUACUAUUUGCGGAAACUCGGAUGGGGCUUCAAGUAUUGUUGGACAAGACGUUGGAUUUUCUAUCUAUCGUCGGCCUCAAACUUAAUGCCGACAAAUGUUUUACCGUUGGCAUUAAGGGCCAGCCGAAACAGAAGUGUACCGUGUUAGAGGCACAGAGCUUCUACGUAGGCUCGAGUGAGAUUCCAUCACUGAAGCGCACGGACGAGUGGAAGUACUUAGGCAUCAACUUCACUGCAACCGGGAGGGUUCGAUGCAAUCCGGCCGAGGACAUUGGUCCAAAGCUACAAAGAUUGACAAAGGCCCCCCUCAAACCACAACAGAGGUUGUUCGCCCUUCGGACUGUCCUUAUCCCACAGCUCUACCACAAGUUAGCCCUUGGGAGUGUGGCGAUAGGCGUCCUAAGAAAAACUGAUAAACUUAUAAGAUAUUAUGUGCGAAGAUGGCUAAAUCUUCCGCUGGAUGUGCCGAUAGCAUUUGUUCAUGCACCCCCAAAAAGUGGAGGUCUCGGAAUUCCAUCACUAAGAUGGGUAGCUCCAAUGUUAAGGCUAAGACGCUUGAGUAACAUUAAAUGGCCUCACCUCACGCAAAACGAGGUAGCCAGCUCUUUCCUCGAAGCCGAAAAACAACGGGCCCGAGAUAGAUUAUUAGCUGAACAAAAUGAACUGUUAUCGCGUCCGGCAAUAGAAAAAUAUUGGGCGAACAAGUUGUACCUCUCAGUUGAUGGUAGCGGACUCCGUGAAGCGGGCCAUUAUGGCCCGCAACACGGGUGGGUUAGUCAACCCACGCGUUUAUUAACAGGAAAGGAAUAUAUAGACGGUAUUCGUCUGCGGAUAAAUGCCCUACCCACAAAGUCUCGUACUACAAGGGGAAGGCACGAAUUGGAACGACAGUGUCGUGCAGGAUGUGAUGCUCCCGAAACAACAAACCACAUAAUGCAAAAAUGCUACCGCUCGCAUGGGAGGCGGGUAGCUAGACACAACUGCGUAGUAAAUCGAAUCAAGCGGGGACUUGAGGAGAGAGGCUGCGUGGUCAUUGUUGAACCAAGUCUGCAGUGCGAAUCCGGCCUUAAUAAACCAGACCUGGUGGCACUACGACAAAAUCACAUUGAUGUGAUCGACAUACAAAUUGUGACAGACGGACACUCUAUGGAUGAUGCGCACCAGCGCAAAAUCAAUAGAUACGACAGACCGGACAUACGAACUGAAUUGCGUCGCAGAUUCGAAGCCGCAGGUGACAUUGAAUUCCAUUCUGCCACCCUGAACUGGAGGGGGAUCUGGAGUGGUCAAUCCGUUAAAAGAUUGAUAGCAAAGGGUCUCCUCAGCAAAUAUGAUAGUCAUAUCAUUAGCGUCCAGGUUAUGAGAGGCAGUCUCGGUUGUUUUAAACAGUUCAUGUACCUGAGCGGGUUUUCCCGAGAUUGGACUUAGCUAAAUCGUUUGGUUCAAAACAUUUGCUUGCUGUCUUGGCAUAACAUCAAUAAAGGCAUAAACAUCGCAAAAUAAUGGUUAUAAUUAAAUGGCUAUGAGGAUGGUUUUAGUACGUAGGCGUUGCGGAACUUCGGUUCAUAUAGAGCAAUGAAUCGUGCAUGCUAGGAAAACUGACCACACACAGUGUUGGCAGACCUAGUAUCUUUCGAAGAUUUCCAUACCUCCGCGAUCAAAAAAAAAAAAAAAAAAAUAGCCAAAUGCCUCGUCAUCUAAUUAGUGACGCGCAUGAAUGGAUUAACGAGAUUCCUACUGUCCCUAUCUACUAUCUAGCGAAACCACAGCCAAGGGAACGGGCUUGGAAUAAUUAGCGGGGAAAGAAGACCCUUUUGAGCUUGACUCUAAUCUGGCAGUGUAAGGAGACAUAAGAGGUGUAGAAUAAGUGGGAGAUAUUAGACCUCGGUUUGGUAUCGUCAAUGAAAUACCACUACUCUUAUUGUUUCCUUACUUACUUGAUUAAAUGGAACGUGUAUCAUUUCCUAGCCAUUAUACGGAUAUAUUUAUUAUAUCUUAUGGUAUUGGGUUUUGAUGCAAGCUUCUUGAUCAAAGUAUCACGAGUUUGUUAUAUAAUCGCAAACAAAUUCUUUAAUAAAACGAUGCAUUUAUGUAUUUUUGAUUUGAAAAUUUGGUAUAACUCCAAUUACUCAGGUAUGAUCCAAUUCAAGGACAUUGCCAGGUAGGGAGUUUGACUGGGGCGGUACAUCUCUCAAAUAAUAACGGAGGUGUCCCAAGGCCAGCUCAGUGCGGACAGAAACCACACAUAGAGCAAAAGGGCAAAUGCUGACUUGAUCUCGGUGUUCAGUACACACAGGGACAGCAAAAGCUCGGCCUAUCGAUCCUUUUGGUUUAAAGAGUUUUUAACAAGAGGUGUCAGAAAAGUUACCAUAGGGAUAACUGGCUUGUGGCGGCCAAGCGUUCAUAGCGACGUCGCUUUUUGAUCCUUCGAUGUCGGCUCUUCCUAUCAUUGUGAAGCAAAAUUCACCAAGCGUUGGAUUGUUCACCCAUGCAAGGGAACGUGAGCUGGGUUUAGACCGUCGUGAGACAGGUUAGUUUUACCCUACUAAUGACAAAACGUUGUUGCGACAGCAUUCCUGCGUAGUACGAGAGGAACCGCAGGUACGGACCAAUGGCACAAUACUUGUUCGAGCGAACAGUGGUAUGACGCUACGUCCGUUGGAUUAUGCCUGAACGCCUCUAAGGUCGUAUCCGUGCUGGACUGCAAUGAUAAAUAAGGGGCAAUUUGCAUUGUAUGGCUUCUAAACCAUUUAAAGUUUAUAAUUUACUUUAUAAACGACAAUGGAUGUGAUGCCAAUGUAAUUUGUAACAUAGUAAAUUGGGAGGAUCUUCGAUCACCUGAUGCCGCGCUAGUUACAUAUAAAAGCAUUAUUU